AUUUGCAUCGUGUCAGAGUUCUGCUCUUCUUCUUCUUCUUCAGACUUUGUGCAUUUUAACAUUCAAUCCUUUUUACUGAAAACAAGUCGACCAAAGGACAGCAGCUCCUUCACACCUGAUCUUUCUCCACCAACUCUACGGUAUCUCUCCUGCUGCUGACAAUAGAACUCAUCUCUCUCCUGUCAUUCAGAUCAACAUGAAGAUCUCUAUCUUUGCUGGUGUUCUGCUGAUCUCUGCUGCCGUGAUCUCUCAGGACUUAGAUCCAAGAGUUAAGAAGUUUAUAAAUCAGCAUAUCAACCAGAACAUGAAUCCUAACAGCUGUGACGCCGUGAUAAAAAAGAGAAAAAUCCAUCAAACCAAUAGUAACAAGUGUAAGGAGGAGAACACCUUUAUCAGUGCCAGUUAUGGCGUUGUCAAAAAGGUCUGUGGGGAUGAAGGAGAGAGGUAUCCAGAAAAUCAAAAUCUGAGAAUCAGCCUUAAAAAGUUCAGAGUUGUUAAUUGCAAAUGCAAUGAGAACCUCACGUUUGACUACUGUGGCUGUGAAGGCAAACGUCCCAACAUCAGAAUUGUAAUCGGUUGUGAUAACAAUGGUAACCCUGUUCACUAUGAAGAAGGUCUGUACAUUCCCAACUGAUAAAUGAAUCAGAGUAAUCUGUUACUACCUGAUGAAUCAGAGUAAUCUGUUACUACCUGAUGAAUCAGCGUAAUCUAUUACUACCUGAUGAAU